rnacentral:lncRNA from 1 species
GGGGAACGGGGCGGGGCUUCGGAGCGGUCUCCCGGUUACCGAGAGGCGGAGCUACGGAGGUGUUGUGGCCCGGAUGUCGGGGCGCUGCCUUCGGGUUCGCUGAUCCCCUUUCUCCUGCUGGGGAGCUCGCUAGCGGCCAAUGGCUGUCGAUAUUCAACCAGCAUGCCUUGGACUUUAUUGUGGGAAGACCCUGUUAUUUAAAAAUGGCUCAACUGAAAUAUAUGGAGAAUGUGGGGUAAGUCUGAUGUUUAUAUAAUAUUUCAUUGGUAUAAUCCAUUUGCUUUUGAGAUAUUUUCACAUGUAGAAUCUUUUUUCGUAAACUUUAACUGAGAAGAGUAGAGAAGCAUUAAUAAAAUCCUUAUAUUUAUUAGAAUAUUGAAAUCUAUAUCCAGGCAGGUAUGGUGCCACUGAGUUACAUCCCCUGCCCAUUUAUAGUUAUUGCUAAUUUUUAAAUGAUUUAGUGCAGUGACUUAUACAGUAAGUUAAUGUUACAAC